rnacentral:rRNA from 1 species
UACGUAGGCAGCAAGCGUUGUUCGGAGUUACUGGGCGUAAAGGGUGUGUAGGCGGUUCUUUAAGUUUGCUGUGAAAUCUCCCGGCUUAACCGGGAGGGUGCGGUGAAUACUGAGGGACUAGAGUACGGGAGAGGGAAAGUGGAAUUCCUGGUGUAGCGGUGAAAUGCGUAGAUAUCAGGAGGAACACCGGUGGUGUAGACGGCUUCUGGACCGACACUGACGCUGGAGACACGAAAGCGUGGGUAGCAAACAGG